UGGAGAGGCCAGCGGUCAUGGAAUCUCGCUUGGAAAGCGAGAAGGUGUAAAAGCCUCGGGAGUUCGAAUCUCCUCCUCUCCGC
rnacentral:tRNA from 1 species